GGUUAAGCGACUAAGCGUACACGGUGGAUGCCCUGGCAGUCAGAGGCGAUGAAGGACGUGCUAAUCUGCGAUAAGCGCCGGUAAGGUGAUAUGAACCGUUAUAACCGGCGAUUUCCGAAUGGGGAAACCCAGUGUGAUUCGUCACACUAUCAUUAACUGAAUCCAUAGGUUAAUGAGGCGAACCGGGGGAACUGAAACAUCUAAGUACCCCGAGGAAAAGAAAUCAACCGAGAUUCCCCCAGUAGCGGCGAGCGAACGGGGAGGAGCCCAGAGCCUGAAUCAGCAUGUGUGUUAGUGGAAGCGUCUGGAAAGGCGCGCGAUACAGGGUGACAGCCCCGUACACAAAAGCGCAUGUGCUGUGAGCUCGAUGAGUAGGGCGGGACACGUGGUAUCCUGUCUGAAUAUGGGGGGACCAUCCUCCAAGGCUAAAUACUCCUGACUGACCGAUAGUGAACCAGUACCGUGAGGGAAAGGCGAAAAGAACCCCGGCGAGGGGAGUGAAAAAGAACCUGAAACCGUGUACGUACAAGCAGUGGGAGCACCCUUUGGGGUGUGACUGCGUACCUUUUGUAUAAUGGGUCAGCGACUUAUAUUCUGUAGCAAG
rnacentral:rRNA from 1 species